ACAUGCAAGUCGUACGCACUGGCCCAAAUAAUAGAUGGUGCUUGCACCUGAUUGACGAUGGAUCACCAGUGAGUGGCGGACGGGUGAGUAACACGUAGGUAACCUGCCCCGGAGCGGGGGAUGACAUUUGGAAACAGAUGCUAAUACCGCAUAACAACAAAAGCCACAUGGCUUUUGUUUGAAAGAUGGCUUUGGCUAUCACUCUGGGAUGGACCUGCGGUGCAUUAGCUAGUUGGUAAGGUAACGGCUUACCAAGGCGAUGAUGCAUACCGGAGUUGAGAGUCUGAUCGGCCACAAUGGAACUGAGACACGGUCCAUACUCGUACGGGAGGCAGCAGUAGGGAAUCUUCCACAAUGGGCGCAAGCGUGAUGGAGCAACACCGCGUGAGUGAAGAAGGGUUUCGGGUAUUAAAGCUCUGUUGUGGAGAAGAACGUGCGUGAGAGUAACUGUCACGCA
rnacentral:rRNA from 1 species